CUCUGAGUGGCACUAACAGUUAAGCACUUGGCUACUAACCAAAAGUUUGGUGGUUCAAAUCCACCCAGAGG
rnacentral:tRNA from 1 species